UACGUAGGCAGCGAGCGUUGUUCGGAUUUACUGGGCGUAAAGCGUGCGCAGGCGGCUUCUCAAGUCAGGGGUGAAAGCCCAGAGCUCAACUCUGGAAUUGCCUUUGAGACUGAGUGGCUUGAGUACGGGAGAGGUGAGUGGAAUUCCCAGUGUAGAGGUGAAAAUUCGUAGAUAUCGGGAGGAACACCAGUGGCGAAGGCGACUUCCUGGCCUGUUCUUGACGCUGAGGCGCGAAAAGCUAGGGGAGCAAACGGGG
rnacentral:rRNA from 1 species